rnacentral:rRNA from 1 species
UACGUAGGGUGCGAGCGUUGUCCGGAAUUAUUGGGCGUAAAGGGUUCGUAGGCGGUGUGGCAAGUCGGGAGUGAAAUCUCUGGGCUCAACCCAGAGUCUGCUUCCGAAACUGCUGUGCUUGAGUGUGGGAGAGGCGCGUGGAAUUGCAGGUGUAGCGGUGAAAUGCGUAGAUAUCUGCAGGAACACCCGUGGCGAAAGCGGCGCGCUGGACCACUACUGACGCUGAGGAACGAAAGCUAGGGGAGCAAACAGG